GAUUGCGUCACCCACCGCGAACCACGGUCUGCGCCUGCGCAGAGCACUGUGCCGGCGGCUCUGCGCUUCUCGCUACGCGGAGGGGGCAGGGCCGGCCCACCCCGAAAAUCACGUGACCUGCGGGGCACGCACACCGUCUCACGUGGGUCCCGCCCCGGCUCCAGCCCAUGGGCUGUACAGCAGGUGGGCGGGUCGCCGGCUUGGGUGGAGCCCCUGGAGGAGCGGGGCGGAGAGAGAGGGCAGGGAGGUGGAGGGGCGGGGCGGCGGGAGGAGGUUGCGGGAGGAGGUUGCAGGAGAGGGCGCGGCUCGGGGAGGGAGCUCGGCGCCUCCACGUGCCGCAAGAAGCGGUUGUUGGAUACCCAGCGGCGCCUUGCAGAGUCGGCGGCUGUGUUCGUUCUGGGCACGCGGCAGGCGGGCAGGCAGUCAGGAACUGAACCGGAGGCCGUCUGUGCUCCGAGAGCCUCCGAGCCUCGGGCUCCGGCCGCCGCUCCCGGGUGUGUGCAAGCCGUCGGCCGUUCGCCGGCGACCCCAGGGUACGGGCCCUCGCGUCCCAGAGGCUUCACGUCGCUACUCCGAGCCUCCGUUUGUCCUCAUUUCUCCCAAACGCCCAGCGGACCCUGGGCCGAUCUCUCAUCCGGUGUCUUCUGGUUCAGGUUAUGCAGUGUAGACAACGUCCAGAAAUGAGACAGAUCCUCUGCGCAGUCAUCUGGAACAGCAGUCCCCAACCCUUUUGGCACCAGGGACCGGUUUCGUGGAAGACAGGUGCACCCAGAAGUGGAUCCUGCUGUCACUCCCCAUCUCAGGAGGAUUUCCAGAAGCCAUCUCAGUUCCUGGAGGCUGGGCUCAGCCCCAGGUGCACACGCUGAAUUUAGUCUUUCUCCAGCCUACGACUCUCCUGCCCUCCCGCACUUGGGGCCCCGACUUCCUCCUGCAAAAGGAUCUCCUCCCUGCAACUUCCCCCAAACUGGUCCCAAGUCUCAGGAUAAUAAGAACAGAAUGUGCUUGAUGGUUACAGAAGGUGGGUCACUACUACCCACCCCCAGUUACUAGUAUUAGUCACUUCUCACAAGACUCUGUGUGUGUGUGUGGGGGGGUAGUAUUAUUACCCCCAUUAUACAGAUGAGGAGACUGAGGCACAGGGAGGUUAGCCAACUUACCCAAGAUCACACAGAGAGCAAGACAGAGCCAGGGUACAACCUCCACAGCUCAGCUCUGUGCAGACCACAUGCCUCCCCAACUACAGCAAAAUAGAGCUGUCUCCUGUCAGAUCAGGUAAACGUCAAAAGGGAACUAGAGAGGGUGUGAUUAAAUAGCAUCCUAGAAAUUCCAUGUCUGGUUUGCAUGAGUGCAAAAGUGAACACCGAGAAGUUGUGGUUUCUAAGAUGCUGGGGGGACAUGGGAGGACUUCUCACAAAAGCCCAGGGAUCUAUGGGCUUCCCUGGUGGCACAGUGGUUGAGAGUCCGCCUGCCGAUGCAGGGGACACGGGUUCAUGCCCCAGUCUGGGAAGAUCCCACAUGCCACGGAGCGGCUGGGCCCGUGAGCCAUGGCCACUGAGCCUGCGCGUCCAGAGCCUGUGCUCCUCAACGGGAGAAGCCACAACGGUGAGAGGCCCGUGUACUGCAAAAAAAAAAAAAUUUCCAUUUCUACCAACACUUCCCUCUCGAGUAUUGAUUUUCAAGCAUUGAGCAUCUGGAGCUGAGUUCAGUAACACUGAUGUGCUUGGGAAAUCGAGGAACAAGGUCUUUCUGGCCUCGCCUCCUGAUGGGCAGGACAAAAUUCUCUCCUUAGGAGAUGGCAGCGGGGAUCUGUGCUUCAUGUCAACCUGGUCAGUUCUGAGGCCCAUUCCGGCUAAGAAGGGGCAUGUGUCCCCUCUGUCGCCUGGGCCUACGCCUAGGCCCUGGCCACACUCAUUUCCGGUUCCCAGCCACCUGUCUCCGGACCAGCAUUCCUCUUUAUCUCUGCACCAGUACAGUAGGGACCAAGCACCAUGGCUAUUCAAGUUGAAAUUAACUAGAAUAAAGUAUAAACCCAGUGCCCCAGUCACACGAGCCACACUUCAAGUGGCUGGGGGACAUGUCCGCACACCAGGCCCAGUGGGACAGCCUGAUGCCCUCCUGCUCCCAGCACUAAUGGGCCCACCCCACUCCGCUCCUCGCCUAUUUCUAGAAGCCACCAUACUGUUUAGAGUUUACUAGUCUGUGGCAGAAAUUGGGCUGAGGGUAGGGUAACCAGCUAGUUCCGGUUUUCCUGGGACUUUCUUGAUCAUAGCAUUGACGGCCUCAUCUGGGAAGCCCCAGUCCUGGGCAAACCAGGGUGCUCGGUCCACCCACAGAGUAAGUGAUGUCUGACCGAGCUCUCAGUGGGAUGGGGUCAGAGGGCAGUUCAUGCCCUUCGAUGGGGACACCCUGAUGACACGUGCUCACUUGUAGAUAAGACAGUCCUGCAUUAACCUAAAUACCCCCGAAGCCUCAAGUGUUAGAAGGCUCUGCGCCUGGACCCCCUCAGCCGGGCUGGAGCCCCUCUGGCCCCCUGUGCCCACCUCCAUCACCCCUGAGUUUCUCAGUCAUUAGCCUUUGGAAGGGAGCAUUCUGUAAGAGGAGUUGGCUGUCACUGAACCUGGGAUCUUUUCUCUCCUGGGGCACUUGAGUGGGUUUUCUGAGGCCCCCAACACUGCUGAGAUCUGGCCUUGGAGGAUGGACCUCCUGCUCUGGGUGGGUUCUUGCUCCCCUAGCAACUCUAUGAACCCUGAGGACCAUGUCCACCUUCCUCUUAGCCUCUCCCAGGGGCCCAAUCACCCAGCGCCUGAGACAAUCCCCAGGCAGGGCUCCGGGCUCAGGCCUGCAUCUCAGCCAGGGAAACUGACCAGGGCUUGCCCUUAAGUACAAGCUGCCCCCCGUACAGCAGCCUCUGUCCUGCCUCCUGCCCUGUUCCUGUCCCACCAGCUCUCCGUCCAAUCCCCAGGGUCAGGGCCCUUUGCUCUAUCAGAGGGGAGUGAGAUCCUUCUCGACACAGCAGCAAUGUCCACCUUGCCCAGCCAUCCCCAGCGGACGCCACAGCCCCAGGGUAGAGGUCCCUGCUAUCUGUGCAGCCUACACAUCAAAUUCCCCCAUUCCUAAUCCUAACCCACACCCCUAGCCCAACCUUUUGUCACAGAUUUACCCAGGGAAGCCAUGUGUCCACAAGAUCUCAUCUAUUAAUCAAAGGAUGAUGGAAACUUCUAGUUUUCUUCUCUUUCUUUACUUUGGAGAAAUGCAGUUAGGGUUGGUCCUCAGGGUCAAUAAAACCAGCAUCCAAUUCUGAUGCCCCCCAGCCCCACCUCAGUACUUCUUCCUCUUAAAAGCAGUUCUCCUCCUCCUCUUUGUAAGGGAGUAGUCAGUGUAGCUGCUUCACUUACAAGCAAUUAUUAGCUAACCCCAGGUAUCUCACCUGUUCUCAUCCAUGUGACUCCCAGCGCAGGUGCUAAGGGAGGGCCCAGCACCUCUUUAGGGGAUUCUAAUGUGCUCUAAAGUGUCUUAAUGGACAGCUAGGUUGUUUUUGUAAAAUGCCAACGCCAGCCCCACCCUCAGAUAUUCACAAGUAUUUGGUCCGGGAUGCGCAGCCUGGUGAUUUUUCAAAGUGUCCCAACGGAUUCCUGUGUGCGCAGGCUGUGAGCCCGGCUCCCGUACACCUGUGUGCACACCUGUGCCUGGGGCAGGUGCUCGGCCCUGGACCUCAGCCUCUGCAGUGCCUUCUGCUGAGCUUGUUGCCUUUAAUCCUCCUUCUCUUGCUCCCCCUCCCCCAAAACCUACCAAACACAUCAGGCGAGGGGAAAAGAAGCAACGUUCAUAUCAUCAUUUUAUUCGUCAGAAUUUCCAGAGACCAGGUCUCUACCGGGCAAGUAGAAAAAUAGAGAAUUUUACUACUUUGAAAAGGCAGCUAUGACAAGUGUACGCCGAGAAAAGCGCCCCUGGGACUCGAGGGAGCGCAGGGUUCAGUCUGGGGGUGUCUCCCCACGCCACUAGCAGGCCCAGUCCUGGAACCGGAAGCAGUCACUGGCAAUCUUCCACACCGUGUUGCUGGGCGAGGCCUGGGCUGUCAGGAUGAAGUUCUGGUUGAAGUCCCGCUGUUUGUUGCCCUCAAACUUCACUGUCCCACAGAUCACCACGAGGACCGUGGUCUGGCUCGGGGUGGCUUCAUCGUGAACGGGCUGGCAGUCUACCACGUUGAUUUGGAACUCACUGGAAGGCAGCAUCUCAAAAAACUCACUCAAGGACUCUUGUCCCGAAACGGCGUUGCCGUUCCACACCAAGGUGGCCGUGCCCAUGUACAGGCGGGACAGCAGCCGCCGCCUCUUGUCCAUGGUGGUGUAGUACACGUUCACGAACUCCUCAGCUGCACGGCAGGCCUGGUCCACAUAGGUCUUGAAGUCCACGGACGCCAUCUCUGGCCCCGCUGAGGAAGGCCUCCACCCAGGUGCUUCCUGUACCUGGGGGAGCCAGGCUGUGGGGCAGGAAGGUGAAAGAGACCCUGUGUGAAUGCCAUUGCCCAUCCUGCCGGACAAAUGAAUAUCCUCCUCCUCUGGUGGUGGCAGAACAGCUACACAUGGUGGAGAGAUGAUUCUAGGCGCACACUGGUGCUGACAGCUGGUCUGACUAGGCCUCAGUUCACUCACUUUAAACGGGACCAUCCCCAGCUGUGCAUAACUGCAGUGUUGGAUGAAAAGAAGCCGUGUACACCACGGGCUUAGUUAAAAAGCCUGAGACCCACAUGGUCCGCAGUGGUAGCUAUUACUAUGAAUUUUAACGGUUUCGUUUUAUAAGCUGUAGUACAACUGAUAGUGGAAGGCCGCUUUUUUCUGGAAGCAUGGAACAGCUGUGACUGCCCUAGAGAAGCGGGUAAAGGGACUUUCCUGGCGGUCCAGUGGUAAGGGUUCCAAGCUUCCAAUGCAGGGGGCACGGGUUCAAUCCCUGGUCGGGGAACUAAAA